rnacentral:lncRNA from 1 species
AUUUCAAACAGAAUUCUGAUGUGACAUGAGCACAGUUGCUGCUAUUGAUGUGAAAAUCUGCUUUGUUUUCCACAGAUUGGUGAUGCUUUUGUGGAGCUGGGCUCGUUGGCCUGGAUUCUGCAGCUCUGGCUGCAGGGGAUGGGUUUUGCUUGGACAUCCCAAACCUUGCUCUCCCUUUCACUAAACACAGGGAGAGCCUUAAUGGGUCUGGCUGAGCUGUGUGCAAGCAGGCACAAACAAUUUCAUCGUGUCCAGGCUGUUCAACUACUAAUUGUGAUAUUCCAGAUUUUCAGAGUUUCAUGCUGGUGCAGUAGGAUUUCCUGCGCAGUGGAGCAGAAUUGGGUCUGUGAGCUGAGCCAUGGACCUCUUCCAUCAGUAGAAGUGAAGAAAAAGCCUUUGAUUAUCUGCACACAAGGUGUCUGCACUGUUCCGGCUCUUUGAUCUCACUGAGAGCCCCCAGUGCCCUGAGAGCAUCACCAGGAGUUGCUUCCCCAGCCCAGAGCCCACGGUGUUGGGAGAUGCUGGAAGAGGAGAGGGGUGUCCCUGCUGUGGUGAGUUUGGGGAAGGAUUUGCCCUUUCUCUGUCACCCCAAUCACACAAUGAGCAGGCACAACCAGGUGACAGGGGCACGGCUUGGGAGGGAGAAAGAGGGGAAGGCACCAUGAAUUCUCCUUGUGGUUGGCCUGGGCACCAGAGUGUCACAUUCUUAUUUUCUGAAAAAUUCCUUCUCCAAGGAUUUUUCUCCUGGGAAGCUGGGAAGUCUCAGAGAAAAAGGAAAACAAUUCUUACCUCAUUUGCUUCUCCUGUGUUGUGCUCAUGUGGAAUGUGUUUGGAGAUGGUUUACCUGCAGGUGAUUGUUUCAUUGGUUUGAAUUGUUUUCACUCUUUGGCCAAUCAGGGUCAAGCUGUGUCAGGACUCUGGAAAGAGUCACGAGUUUUCAUUAUUAUCUUUUUAGCAUUCAGUAAGUAUCCUUUCUGUAUUCUUUAGUAUAGUACAGUAUUCUUUAAUAUAAUAUAGUAUCAUAAAAUAAUAAAUUAGCGUUCUGAGAACA